CGACCGCGACCCCAGGUCAGACGGACUA
rnacentral:rRNA from 1 species